rnacentral:rRNA from 1 species
GUGGGGAAUAUUGCGCAAUGGGCGAAAGCCUGACGCAGCAACGCCGCGUGAGUGAUGAAGGCCUUCGGGUCGUAAAGCUCUGUCGGGAGGAACGAAUAUCCGUCGGGAACAAUACCUCGGCGGUUUGACGGUACCUCCAAAGGAAGCACCGGCUAACUCCGUGCCAGCAGCCGCGGUAAUACGGAGGGUGCAAGCGUUGUUCGGAAUUACUGGGCGUAAAGCGCGUGUAGGCGGACUUGGAAGUCGGGUGUGAAAGCCCCGGGCUUAACUCGGGAAGUGCGCUCGAAACCACAAGUCUUGAGGUCCGGAGGGGAUCGGGGAAUUCCUGGUGUAGAGGUGAAAUUCGUAGAUAUCAGGAGGAACACCGGCGGCGAAGGCGCCGAUCUGGACGGAUUCUGACGCUGAGACGCGAAAGCGUGGGUAGCAAACAGGAUUAGAAACCCCGGUAGUCC